rnacentral:rRNA from 1 species
GAUGAACGCUGGCGGCGUGCCUAAUACAUGCAAGUCGAGCGAACAGACGAGGAGCUUGCUCCUCUGACGUUAGCGGCGGACGGGUGAGUAACACGUGGAUAACCUACCUAUAAGACUGGGAUAACUUCGGGAAACCGGAGCUAAUACCGGAUAAUAUAUUGAACCGCAUGGUUCAAUAGUGAAAGACGGUUUUGCUGUCACUUAUAGAUGGAUCCGCGCCGCAUUAGCUAGUUGGUAAGGUAACGGCUUACCAAGGCGACGAUGCGUAGCCGACCUGAGAGGGUGAUCGCCCACACUGGAACUGAGAAACGGUCCAGACUCCUACGGGAGGCAGCAGUAGGGAAUCUUCAGCAAUGGGCGAAAGCCUGACGGAGCAACGCCGCGUGAGUGAUGAAGGUCUUCGGAUCGUAAAACUCUGUUAUUAGGGAAGAACAAAUGUGUAAGUAACUAUGCACGUCUUGACGGUACCUAAUCAGAAAGCCACGGCUAACUACGUG